rnacentral:rRNA from 1 species
UACGGGGGGGGCAAGCGUUGUUCGGAAUUACUGGGCGUAAAGGGCUCGUAGGCGGCCAACUAAGUCGGAUGUGAAAUCCCUCGGCUUAACCGGGGAACUGCGUCUGAUACUGGAUGGCUUGAGUUUGGGAGAGGGAUGCGGAAUUCCAGGUGUAGCGGUGAAAUGCGUAGAUAUCUGGAGGAACACCGGUGGCGAAGGCGGCAUCCUGGACCAACACUGACACUGAGGAGCGAAAGCCAGGGGGGCAAACGGG